ACUUUAUUAGUUUAUAAAAACGUUGAUUUGUGGAAUCAAAAAUAUAUUAUUUAUAUAAAGUU
rnacentral:tRNA from 1 species